UUGAACGCUGGCGGCAUGCCUAACACAUGCAAGUCGAACGGCAGCGCGGGGAGCUUGCUCCCUGGCGGCGAGUGGCGGACGGGUGAGUAAUACUUAGGAAUCUGCCCAGUAGUGGGGGACGAACCCGGGAAACCCGGGCGUAAUACCGCGUAAUCUCUUCGGAGGAAAGAGGGCCUCUUCUUGAAAGCUCUCGCUAUUGGAUGAGCCUAAGU
rnacentral:rRNA from 1 species